AACGAACGCUGGCGGCAGGCCUAACACAUGCAAGUCGAGCGCGCCCUUCGGGGUGAGCGGCGGAUGGGUGGGUAACGCGUGGGAACGUGCCCUUCUCUGCGGAAUAGCCUCGGGAAACUGAGAGUAAUACCACAUACGCCCUCUGGGGGAAAGAUUUAUCGGAGAAGGAGCGGCCCGCGUUGGCUUAGGUAGUUGGUGGGGUAAUGGCUCACCAAGCCGACGAUCCAUAGCUGGUUUGAGAGGAUGAUCAGCCACACUGGGACUGAGACACGGCCCAGACUCCUACGGGAGGCAGCAGUGGGGAAUCUUAGACAAUGGGGGCAACCCUGAUCUAGCCAUGCCGUGUGAGUGAUGAAGGCCUUAGGGUUGUAAAGCUCUCUCAGCUGGGAAGAUAAUGACGGUACCAGCAGAAGAAGCCCCGGCUAACUCCGUGCCAGCAGCCGCGGUAA
rnacentral:rRNA from 1 species